ACACAUGCAGUCGAGCGGAACGAGUUAUCUGAACCUUCGGGGAACGAUAACGGCGUCGAGCGGCGGACGGGUGAGUAAUGCCUAGGAAAUUGCCCUGAUGUGGGGGAUAACCAUUGGAAACGAUGGCUAAUACCGCAUAAUGCCUACGGGCCAAAGAGGGGGACCUUCGGGCCUCUCGCGUCAGGAUAUGCCUAGGUGGGAUUAGCUAGUUGGUGAGGUAAGGGCUCACCAAGGCGACGAUCCCUAGCUGGUCUGAGAGGAUGAUCAGCCACACUGGAACUGAGACACGGUCCAGACUCCUACGGGAGGCAGCAGUGGGGAAUAUUGCACAAUGGGCGCAAGCCUGAUGCAGCCAUGCCGCGUGUGUGAAGAAGGCCUUCGGGUUGUAAAGCACUUUCAGUCGUGAGGAAGGUAGUGUAGUUAAUAGCUGCAUUAUUUGACGUUAGCGACAGAAGAAGCACCGGCUAACUCCGUGCCAGCAGCCGCGGUAAUACGGAGGGUGCGAGCGUUAAUCGGAAUUACUGGGCGUAAAGCGCAUGCAGGUGGUUUGUUAAGUCAGAUGUGAAAGCCCGGGGCUCAACCUCGGAAUUGCAUUUGAAACUGGCAGACUAGAGUACUGUAGAGGGGGGUAGAAUUUCAGGUGUAGCGGUGAAAUGCGUAGAGAUCUGAAGGAAUACCGGUGGCGAAGGCGGCCCCCUGGACAGAUACUGACACUCAGAUGCGAAAGCGUGGGGAGCAAACAGGAUUAGAUACCCUGGUAGUCCACGCCGUAAACGAUGUCUACUUGGGAGGUUGUGGCCUUGAGCCGUGGCUUUCGGAGCUAACGCGUUAAGUAGACCGCCCUGGGGAGUACGGUCGCAAGAUUAAAACUCAAAUGAAUUGACGGGGGCCCGCACAAGCGGUGGAGCAUGUGGUUUAAUUCGAUGCAACGC
rnacentral:rRNA from 1 species